GCCUUUUCACAUGCAGUCGGACGGCAGCACAGAGAAGCUUGCUUCUUGGGUGGCGAGUGGCGAACGGGUGAGUAACAUAUCGGAACGUACCGAGUAGUGGGGGAUAACUGAUCGAAAGAUCAGCUAAUACCGCAUACGUCUUGAGAGAGAAAGCAGGGGACCUUUGGGCCUUGCGCUAUUCGAGCGGCCGAUAUCUGAUUAGCUGGUUGGUGGGGUAAAGGCCUACCAAGGCGACGAUCAGUAGCGGGUCUGAGAGGAUGAUCCGCCACACUGGGACUGAGACACGGCCCAGACUCCUACGGGAGGCAGCAGUGGGGAAUUUUGGACAAUGGGCGCAAGCCUGAUCCAGCCAUGCCGCGUGUCUGAAGAAGGCCUUCGGGUUGUAAAGGACUUUUGUCAGGGAAGAAAAGGCUGUUGCUAAUACCAGCGGCUGAUGACGGUACCUGAAGAAUAAGCACCGGCUAACUACGUGCCAGCAGCCGCGGUAAUACGUAGGGUGCGAGCGUUAAUCGGAAUUACUGGGCGUAAAGCGGGCGCAGACGGUUACUUAAGCAGGAUGUGAAAUCCCCGGGCUCAACCCGGGAACUGCGUUCUGAACUGGGUGACUCGAGUGUGUCAGAGGGAGGUAGAAUUCCACGUGUAGCAGUGAAAUGCGUAGAGAUGUGGAGGAAUACCGAUGGCGAAGGCAGCCUCCUGGGACAACACUGACGUUCAUGCCCAAAAGCGUGGUGUAGCAAACAAGGAUUACAUACCCUGGGAGUCUACGCCCCAAACCGAUGUCAAUUACCUGGUUGAGCAACCUGAAUUGCA
rnacentral:rRNA from 1 species